rnacentral:rRNA from 1 species
AAUAAGCGGAGGAAAAGAAACCAACAGGGAUUGCCCUAGUAACGGCGAGUGAAGCGGCAACAGCUCAAAUUUGAAAUCUGGCGCAAGCCCGAGUUGUAAUUUGUAGAGGAUGCUUCUAGGUAGCGACCGGUCUAAGUUCCUUGGAACAGGACGUCAUAGAGGGUGAGAAUCCCGUAUGUGACCGGCCCGCACCUUCUACGUAGCUCCUUCGACGAGUCGAGUUGUUUGGGAAUGCAGCUCUAAAUGGGAGGUAAAUUUCUUCUAAAGCUAAAUACCGGCCAGAGACCGAUAGCGCACAAGUAGAGUGAUCGAAAGAUGAAAAGCACUUUGGAAAGAGAGUUAAAAAGCACGUGAAAUUGUUGAAAGGGAAGCGCUCACAACCAGACUUCUGGGCGGUGUUCCGCCGGUCUUCUGACCGGUCUACUCACCGUCCCGAGGCCAACAUCAUCUGGGACCGCUGGAUAAGACCUCAGGAAUGUAGCUCCCCCUCGGGGGAGUGUUAUAGCCUGUGGUGAUGCAGCGCGUCUCGGGUGAGGUCCGCGCUUCGGCAAGGAUGUUGGCGUAAUGGUUGUCAGCGGCCCGUCUUGAAACACGGACCAAGGAGUCUAACAUCUAUGCGAGUGUUCGGGUGUCAAACCCCUACGCGUAAUGAAAGUGAACGGAGGUGGGAAGCGUAAGCUGCACCAUCGACCGAUCCUGAUGUCCUCGGAUGGAUUUGAGUAAGAGCAUAGCUGUUGGGACCCGAAAGAUGGUGAACUAUGCCUGAAUAGGGUGAAGCCAGAGGAAACUCUGGUGGAGGCUCGCAGCGGUUCUGACGUGCAAAUCGAUCGUCAAAUUUGGGUAUAGGGGCGAAAGACUAAUCGAACCAU